GAUGAACGCUAGCGGCAGGCUUAAUACAUGCAAGUCGAGGGGCAGCAGGACUGUAGCAAUACAGUUGCUGGCGACCGGCAAACGGGUGCGGAACACGUACGCAACCUACCCAACACUGGGGGAUAGCCCGGGGAAACCCGGAUUAAUACCUCGUAACCUUUUUAAGUGGCAUCACUUGAUAAGUAUAGCUCCGGCGGUUUUGGAUGGGCGUGCGCCUGGUUAGGUAGUUGGUGCGGGUAACGGCCCACCAAGCCGGCGAUCAGUAACUGGUGUGAGCGCACGACCCAUCACACGGGAACUGCGACCCGGGCCCGACUCCUACGGGAGGCAGCAGUAAGGUAUAUUGGUCACUGGACGCGAGUCUGAACCAGCCAUGCCGCGUGAAGGAUGAAGGUCCUCUGGAUUGUAAACUUCUUUUAUGGGGGACGAAACCCGGAUAUUCUUAUCCGAUUGACGGUACCUAAGGAAUAAGCACCGGCUAACUCCGUG
rnacentral:rRNA from 1 species